rnacentral:rRNA from 1 species
UACAGAGGGGGCAAGCGUUGUUCGGAAUUACUGGGCGUAAAGGGCGCGUAGGCGGCCUGCUAAGUCGAACGUGAAAUCCCUGGGCUCAACCCAGGAACUGCGUCCGAUACUGGUUGGCUUGAAUCCGGGAGAGGGAUGUGGAAUUCCAGGUGUAGCGGUGAAAUGCGUAGAUAUCUGGAGGAACACCGGUGGCGAAGGCGGCUUUCUGGACGGUAACUGACGCUGAGACGCGAAAGCGUGGGGAGCAAACAGG